GAACGCACCUUGCGCUCCUUGGUAUUCCGAGGAGCAUGCCUGUUUGAGUGUCAUUAAUAUAUCAACCUCUCUAAGCUUAUGCUUGUUGAGUGUUGGAUGUGGGGGGGUUAUUUUUGCUGGCAUCUUUAUGAAGUCAGCUCCCCUGAAAUGCAUUAGCGGGACAAUUUGUUGACCGUUCAUUGGCGUGAUAAAUAUCUAUGCUAUUGAUGUCAGUCAGUUCAGCUUCUAACAGUCCAUUGACUUGGACAAAUGUUUCAUUAAUGUGACCUCAAAUCAGGUAGGACUACCCGCUGAACUUAAG
rnacentral:misc_RNA from 1 species